ACUACCAGCCAAAAGGUCAUCUGUCAGACACUUUUCCCUCUCCAACUAAGCAACUCAUUGAAAAAUCUUUCAAUUGCUUUAGCAAUAGUUCACUCCUCUUCUAGGAUUGCUUCUACUUGGUAGGCUCACUAUAGGGUUUUAAUUUAGGAAAAAGUCUUGUAAUCUCUGAGACAUAAAUCAAUUAAUUGCCUGGGAACAAGUCACAUUUGUACUAAUGUGACAAUCGGUUUGACCUGUGGGGCAAAGGAACUGUCGUGACCAUCUCUUCAGAUCCCAAGGCCUCACCCAGAGUCUUCCCCCUGAGCUCUGGGACUAGUGACUCAAUGGUCCUAGGCUGUCUGGCUCAAGGCUUCUUCCCAGAGCCUGUGAACAUGACAUGGAAUUAUAGUGGUCUUGGCGGCACAAUAAGGAAUUACCCUGCUAUGCUUAGUGGCAACACCUACCUUCAAACCAGUGUACUAGAUCUUCCUGCAAGCCAGUGCUCCAGUAGCCAGUCCUACCAGUGCCAUGUCGAACACUAUAGUACCAAUAAUAAGCUGACGGUUCCCUGCCAAGAACUUCCAAACGAUUGUCCUUGCGAAACUACUUAUGUAUCCCUGAGUCCUCCCUCCCUGGAAAGCUUGCUUUUGGGCACAGGCGCUAAUCUGACAUGUACACUCGGUGGCCUCAAAAACAGCAAAGGAGUCAAGUUUACCUGGGAAAAAACUCCAACCCAGGCAUCAACUUUCAACCCUAUUCAGGGAACACCUCAGCAGGACUCAAGUGGCAAGUAUAGUGUGUCCAGUGUCCUGGAGAUCUAUGCUGAGGAGUGGACCCGUGGGGAUACCUUUUCUUGCACCGUGUCCCACUCUGAAAUAGAAACCACCACCAAGACUAUCUACAAAUCAAAAGAGAGCCAGAUGCCACCCCAAGUCUACCUGCUGCCACCAUCAGCAGAUGAAGUCUCCUUAAAUGAAGUGGUAUCAAUCAUAUGCAUAGUGAGGAAUUUCAGCCCAAAGGAAGCAUUGCUACACUGGCUGAAAGGGUCUGAGAAGCUGCCCAGAAAGGACUACAUCAUCAGUGGCCCUUACCCAGAGCCUAGGGGCACCAACACUUUUAUGAUAAUCAGCAUCAUACAGGUCUCAGCCUCUGAAUGGAAUAAAUACAACUAUUCCUGCGUGGUAGGCCAUGAAGCUCUUCCCUUGAACUUCACCCAGCAAACCAUUGACCGAUUCUCUGGUAAACCCACCAAUGUCAAUGUAUCUGUCAUCAUGUCUGAUGUCUAUGGUACAUGUUAUUGAACUCAGCCUAAACCAUCAGGUCCCCAUCAUUGUCCAGAACUUGAGUUACAAGGCAAUGGGGAAAUGGAAGUAGAUCUAUAGAAAAGUAUCUAUUGGAAUAAAUCUUGAGACUCAGAAGCAA